rnacentral:miRNA from 1 species
AGUUGUACCAGAUGUUACCUUU